rnacentral:pre_miRNA from 12 species
GGUGUGAUUAGGGAGUGUAAAUAAUUUCUGAGUAAUGUUUAAAAUAGCCAUAAACAGUUCCCUAGAGAGUAUCCACACACCUGCAUUA